AGAGCGAACGCUGGCGGCAGGCCUAAUACAUGCAAGUCGAACGGAUCCUUCGGGAUUAGUGGCGGACGGGUGAGUAACACGUGGGAACGUACCCUUUGGUUCGGAACAACUCAGGGAAACUUGAGCUAAUACCGAAUGUGCCCUUCGGGGAAAAGAUUUAUCGCCAUUGGAGCGGCCCGCGUCUGAUUAGCUAGUUGGUAGGGUAAAGGCCUACCAAGGCUACGAUCAGUAGCUGGUCUGAGAGGAUGAUCAGCCACACUGGGACUGAGACACGGUCCAGACUCCUACGGGAGGCAGCAGUGGGGAAUAUUGGACAAUGGGGGCAACCCUGAUCCAGCCAUGCCGCGUGGGUGAAGAAGGCCUUCGGGUGUAAAGCCCUUUGUACGGAGAAAGCUGGGUUAAUAACUUGAGUCAUGACGGUACCGUAAGAAUAAGCACCGGCUAACUUCGUGCCAGCAGCCGC
rnacentral:rRNA from 1 species